rnacentral:rRNA from 1 species
UACGUAGGGUGCAAGCGUUGUCCGGAAUUAUUGGGCGUAAAGAGCGCGUAGGCGGUCUGUCGCGUCGGAUGUGAAAACCCAGGGCUCAACCCUGGGCCUGCAUUCGAUACGGGCAGACUAGAGUUCGGUAGGGGAGACUGGAAUUCCUGGUGUAGCGGUGAAAUGCGCAGAUAUCAGGAGGAACACCGGUGGCGAAGGCGGGUCUCUGGGCCGAAACUGACGCUGAGGAGCGAAAGCGUGGGGAGCAAACAGG